rnacentral:rRNA from 1 species
CUAUACAUGCAAGUCGAGCGGACCUUGUGUUUCCUUCGGGAGACGCCAGGUUAGCGGCGGACGGGUGAGUAACACGUAGGCAACCUGCCUGUAAGACCGGGAUAACUUGCGGAAACGUGAGCUAAUACCGGAUAGCUGGUUUCUUCGCAUGAAGAAGUCAUGAAAGACGGGGCAACCUGUCACUUACAGAUGGGCCUGCGGCGCAUUAGCUAGUUGGUAGGGUAACGGCUUACCAAGGCGACGAUGCGUAGCCGACCUGAGAGGGUGAACGGCCACACUGGGACUGAGACACGGCCCAGACUCCUACGGGAGGCAGCAGUAGGGAAUCUUCCGCAAUGGACGAAAGUCUGACGGAGCAACGCCGCGUGAGUGAUGAAGGUUUUCGGAUCGUAAAGCUCUGUUGCCAAGGAAGAACGGCCAGGGGAGUAACUGCCCCUGGAGUGACGGUACUUGAGAAGAAAGCCCCGGCUAACUACGUGCCAGCAGCCGCGGUAAUACGUAGGGGGCAAGCGUUGUCCGGAAUUAUUGGGCGUAAAGCGCGCGCAGGCGGUCUUUUAAGUCUGGUGUUUAAGCCCGGGGCUCAACCCCGGUUCGCACUGGAAACUGGGAGACUUGAGUGUAGGAGAGGAAAGUGGAAUUCCACGUGUAGCGGUGAAAUGCGUAGAGAUGUGGAGGAACACCAGUGGUGAAGGCGGCUUUCUGGGCCUAUAACUGACGCUGAGG